AUGAAGCCCAGCUUGCUGGGUGGAUUAGUGGCGAACGGGUGAGUAACACGUGAGUAACCUGCCCUUAACUCUGGGAUAAGCCUGGGAAACUGGGUCUAAUACCGGAUAGGAGCGUCCACCGCAUGGUGGGUGUUGGAAAGAUUUAUCGGUUUUGGAUGGACUCGCGGCCUAUCAGCUUGUUGGUGAGGUAAUGGCUCACCAAGGCGACUACGGGUAGCGGGCUGAGAGGGUGACCGGCCACACUGGGACUGAGACACGGCCCAGACUCCUACGGGAGGCAGCAGUGGGCAAUAGCACAUGGGCGCACGCCUGUAUGCAGCGACGCCGCGUGAGGGAUGACGGCCUUCGGGUUGUAAACCUCUUUCAGUAGGGAAGAAGCGAAAGUGACGGUACUGCAGAAGAAGCACCGGCUAACUACGUGCCAGCAGCCGCGGUAAUACGUAGGGUGCGAGCGUUAUCCGGAAUUAUUGGGCGUAAAGAGCUCGUAGGCGGUUUGUCGCGUCUGUCGUGAAAGUCCGGGGCUUAACCCCGGAUCUGCGGUGGGUACGGGCAGACUAUAGUGCAGUAGGGGAUACUGGAAUUCCUGGUGUACCGGUGGAAUGCGCAGAUAUCAGGAGGAACACCGAUGGCGA
rnacentral:rRNA from 1 species